AUUGAAAUUGCAACUUGCAAGGCACUCUGUUUGGCCAUGAACGUACGGAAUCUCUAAAAAUUGCAAGAGAUCCCCACCCAAACUUGAACCCUGAAAAAGUAAACUAAAAAGGAAAGGAAGAAAGAAAAAGGCAAAAAAAGGAGAGAUGAGGUUUUCUUGACCUCCAUUUUCUGCAGUUUCUUCUGCAUAGCUACCCCCUCUCUCUCUCUCUCUCUCUCUCUCUCUACAUGAUUGCUUGCAAAGCGUUUGUGGAAAUGCGGAUCUUCUCAGCUGACCAAGAAGCAUCAUCCUAGCCCUAUCUCUCCAUCUUUUCUGCAAAUUUUUCUCACACAAUUAAGCUACCAUCUUCUUCAUCUGUCUGUUCUUGAGAGGCGCUGUACUAGGUAGCUUAGCUUAGCUUAACAACAACAAUGGUGAGACAAAGAAUCGAGAUCAAGAGGAUCGACAGCUUGUCGGCGAGGCAAGUGACCUUUGCCAAAAGAAGAAGAGGGCUUUUCAAGAAAGCCCAUGAGCUUUCCACGCUCUGCGAUGUCGAAGUCGGCCUCAUCGUCUUCUCCGCCACCGGAAAACUCUCCGACUAUUCCAGCUCCAGUAUGGUGCAAGUACUUGCAAGGCACAAUAUGCAUUCAGAGAAAAAUGAGAAUGAUCUUGAGCAUCAUCAUCAUCCUCAGCCACCUCUCCAGCUUCAGCAAGAUAAUGGAUGUACCCAUGCCAUGCUCCUGAAGGAGUACAAGGAUAAGGAGCGCCAUUUAAGGCAACUCAAUGGAGAAGAUCUGCAAGAGCUUGGCAUGGAGGAACUGAUCAGACUGGAGAAACAGACGGAGAGAGGGCUGAGCCGUGUCCAGAAAACUAAGGAUGAUAUACGUUUGAAAGAGAUGAGUGCUCUCAUGAAAAAGGAAGCUACAUUGAAGGAUGAGAAUGCGCAAAUGAAGCAGUUUUUCGAUCAGAUAAUAUCAAUUUCUCAACCAUCAUUGUAUUGCAUAGAUGGGAUCUUCCAUGGCGGCCCAAGAGGACAAACCACCACCAGAUCAACAAGGGCAAUAUGAUGAUUCAGUCACAAAAACUUACAACUUAGCUCAUCACAAUCACCUUCGUGAUUGCAACUCUGAUACAUUCCUCACGUUGGGCUUGCCUUUUCCUGCUUGAGCUAUGAAGGAAAGCAUGCAUACAUGCGGCGAUAUCAACGUCCACGCCAAUAAGUAGUUUGGUCAAAGUGUACAAAUUUAGUCGUCGAUUAAAUGUUGGUGUAGUUUCAGUUCAAUUCUUCUUUUCUUUACACAAAUACUGUGAAUCAGUGAGGUAAGCUCAUGCGGACAGUUUCAGUACAAUUCUCUGAAGAUGAUAGGGUGGUUUUGAGUUCUGAACUUCUGAUAGUGUAUGAUAUCAAAGUUUCUAAUUGGAGUGACAAACCUUCAUUGCAUUA